AUCUACGGCCAUACCACCCUGAACGCACCCGAUCUCGUCUGAUCUCGGAAGCUAAGCAGGGUCAGGCCUGGUUUGUACUUGGAUGGGAGAUGGAGUCUCGCUCUUACUCAGGCUGGUCUCGAAC
rnacentral:rRNA from 1 species